GCUGUCUCCGCCUGCUGGGGAGGGCUGCUCGAGUUUAAGGGCGGCUGAGCAGUUUUGGUGCGUUUCCUAGUUUUCCUUCUGCAAAGAACAGAAGAUGGAGCAUUCCCGCAGGUCCUUUCCCGGGCAACAAGAACAAGAUAACACGUUCACUUUAUCACAACUUUUCUGAAGGAAUCACUGGAGAAAAUGAUGAAUUUUAAUAAAUAUGCUAUUUAAAAAGUCAUGAAGAAAGCUAUAAAAGUACUCGAGGAAAAAGAAAAAAUUAGAAGUUAAGGAGAUCCAUCAAAAUUGGAAAUAUAAAGGGAAUUAUCAGUUAUUGGAUUCUUCAAAACACAAAAUCAUAUAAUGUAAAAUGCUAUAAAUUUAGUGAAGAAAGACGUAUUGAUCAAAACUGCUUCCCACCUGUAAAAGGAUCUGCUACAGGGAGUGUGUUAGAAGAUCCUGAUGAAGAGCCUGGAACAUAUCGACCACCACCUGUGCAUGCAAACAAAGGAAAUUUGGAGUACGCCCACGUAGAGAAUUUCAUAAAUGGCACAAUACUUACAUUAGAAUUAAUGUGUGGAGAAAUAUAGAAGAACAUGGCUGCUACAUGACAGAAUAAAAGGAAAUACAGUCAGAAGUCUUACAGUUGGAAAGACUACUGAGAAACUAAAAUUUCAGUGAUUCUUCAUGUUUUGCUUUUGUUAACAUUAAUACUUCAUUAUAUCCUAGCUUCUGCAUUUAAAUAUUAAAAUAACUAGGAAUUCAAAUACAAAAAGAUAAAUUGUAGUUGGUCUCUGACCUAAAUAAUAUACACAUAAAAUCAGUUCUUGUUCCUAUCCAAAUUCACUAGAACUCCUGCUGUUGCUGUUGCUAUGAAAACCACAGGCAUCAAAUGUUAAUAUUUUAGAGAACCCCUGGGUUCAUUAAUUCAUGUGUCAAAUAGUGCAUUCAGUGCUGAGAUCCAGCAGGGAACAAGAUUGCUUGUAUCCACUGAAGCUUACAACCUACUGGAGAAGAAAAUUACAAAGGGUUUGAGUGCUACAAAGGAAACAGAUUUGCAUUUAUAUGUUUACAAAUGUGUGGUGUGUGUAAGUAGACUUUGUUAGUAUCUCUAGAGGAAUAAUUAGAGACAUCUACCAAAAAAUAUAUCUAAGGAUACUGAUUUCAGAAGAGCCAAAUUGUUGUCUAUUUCCAGAUGGAGCCAGUUGCUUUAAUGUGUCCUCUACCCCACAAAACAGUUUACAUGAUACUGUAAUCAUGUGUUCACUCUUUUGUAUUACAGUCUGAUUCCAACCAACUGAAAUAUCCAGGUAAUAAAUAGUUUUUUUCCCUCUUUUUCUAUCAA